rnacentral:rRNA from 1 species
AAAUGGGAUUCCUUAAGUAAUUGCGAAUGAACAAGGAAAUGCUCAGCUUGAAAAAUGGGGCCUUUGGCUUUGAGUUGUAAUUUUGAAAUGUAUUGCCAAUAGAGGUGCAAGUGCAAGCCUAUUGAAAGAAAGCGUCAAUGAGGGUGAGAUUCCUUUUUGUCAUUUGCAAUCCUCCAUGCMCGGUAUAUGCUUGACGAGUCACACUCCUCGGCAUUGGAAUGCAAAAUGGGUGGUAAAUUCCAUGUAAAGGUMAAUAUAUUAUUGAGAUUGAUAGCAAACAAGUACCAUGAGGGAAAUAUGAAAAGGACUUUGAAAAGAGAAUUAAAAGAGUCUGCAUUUGCUGAACAACAAGCAAACAGAAUUUGUUUAAUUGGKGAGAUUGUUGUUUCCUCUUGAAACAAUGUAUGUUAAAGAGAGGUGCAAUGGUUCUUUCCUUGAAUGUCACUUUCUAUUUCGGCAAAUCAUUAUCCUUGUACAUGAAUGGUAAUUUGCUUGCGGGCAUUGGGAUAUGUGUACUUGCGAUGMUUUGUGAUUUGAUACACGUGUCUGGUGACUUKUGUUGGGGCUCUCUUUGUCGACAGAAUUUUUCUGCUCUGAACGCAUCAAGCC